AAAAACAAGAGUUUGAUCUUGGCUCAGAACGAACGCUAGCUAUAUGCUUAACACAUGUAAGUCGAACAUGGCUUGCUUCCCCAUCCAUCCACGUGGGGGCAAAAGGGCAAGAGGAAUGGCCCCCUCCUAGCGCGUUCUCACUCACUCAAAUGAUAUGCAAGUGGUGCGUCGGGCAUGGGGCACAACAAGCAAAGUGGCGAACGGGUGUGUAACGCGUGGGAAUUUGCCGAACAGUUCACUCCAAAUCCUAAAUAAUUCAUAAAGCAAGCUAAUUCGCGAUGUUUGAUGAGACCGCAUAUUAUCAAGUAGUUGGUUAGGUAAAGGCUAACCAAGCCAAUGAUGCUUAGCUAGUCUUUUCGGAUGAUCAGCCACACUGGGACUGAGACACGACCUAGACUCCCUCGGGGGGCAGCAGUGGGGAAUAUUGGACAAUGGGCUCACGCCCGAUCUAGGAAUAUCAUGUGGGCGAAGAAGGGCACUAUCGCUUGUCAAGCUCUUUCGUCGAGUUUCGAUCAUGACAGGACUCGAGGAAGAAGCCCCGGCUAACUCCGUGCCAGCAGUUGCGGUAAGACGGGGGGGGCAAGUGUUAUUUGGAAUGACUGGGCGUAAAGGGCACGUAGGCGGUGAAAAGGGUGGAAAGUGAAAGUCGCCAAAGCACUGGCGGGGUGCUUUCUUUACCAUUUCACUUGAGUGAGAUAGGGGAGAGUGGAAUUUCGUGUGGAGGGAUCAAAUCCUAAGAUAUACGAAGGAACACCAACCGCGAAGGCAGCUCUCUGGGUCCCCACUGACGCUGGAGUGCGAAAUCAUGGGGAGAAAACAGGAUCGUAUACCUUGGUAGUCCAUGCCAUAAGCGAUGAGUGUUCUUCCUUGGUUUGCUUGCCUACUAGGUAGGAUUAGGAUCAGGGGCCCAACUAACGUGUGAAACACUCCGCCUAGGGAUUACGGUCGCAAGACUGAAAUUCAAAGGAAUUGACGAGGGCCUGCACAAGCGGUGGAGCAUGUGGUUUAAUUCGAUACAAUGCGCAAAACCUUACCAGCCCUUGACAUAUGAACAAGUGUGCCUUUCCCUAACGGGAUGGUGCAUGGUUGUCGGCAGCUCGUGUCGUGAGAUGUUUGGUUAAGUCCUAUAACGAACGAAACCCUCAUUUUGUGUUGCUAAGACAUGGGCCAACGGAGCAAUGUCAUCGCCCCUUCUCAAUGAAUCAAUAUGGCGAGGGUGAGGAAACCGAACCGCUCGCCCGACAGAGGAGGGUGAGGCAAGCGCCUCUUUUUUAUUGAUGAUAGUCCUAUGAAGGCAGGUGCGGGCUGCACUGACAAGAGAC
rfam:Picea glauca, whole genome shotgun sequence.